rnacentral:rRNA from 1 species
UACAGAGGGGCGAGCGUUAUUCGGAAUUAUUGGGCGUAAAGGGCGCGUAGGCGGCUUGACAAGUCCAAGGUGAAAUCCCUCGGCUCAACCGAGGAACUGCCUUGGAAACUGUCUGGCUCGAGGCCGGGAGAGGGUAGUGGAAUUCCCAGUGUAGCGGUGAAAUGCGUAGAUAUCUGGAGGAAUACCGGUGGCGAAGGCGGCAUCCUGGACCGACAUGACGCUGAGGAGCGAAAGCUAGGGGAGCAAACGGGG